rnacentral:rRNA from 1 species
AUGACAGGUGGUGAGGUCAGGGUCAUGGAGUCAGUGCGGUCGGAUGAUGGAAGUUCGUGUGGUGCAGAGGAUGGAGGAGGAAGGCACGUAGGAGAUGAAGUGCUGAGAGGAGGCGGAGAUGUAGCUGGGUGUGCCUCAGCAAGCAGAGACUUGGAGGAUGCCCUGCUCACCGCCAUGCAGGAGGAAGCUGUGUUGCGUGCACGUCUGGCCUCCGCCGAAGCGGCAUUUGAUGCUGCACGGGCAAGGGUGGCUCGCAUGAGGAACACGGAGGUCAUCGAGGAGAGGACACGUUCGGCCUUUUUUAUCUGUACCAAUGGAGAUGGCACUGAAAAUGCCGCAAUUGCUGCUCAUAGGACUGAUCCGGAGUGGAUUCUAGACACUGGUGCUUCGCAAUAUGUUGCAGGUGACUUCAGUGAGUUUGAGUCAUAUGAUGAGCUCACUCCCUCUCAAAGUAACAUGAUACAUACUGCUGACGGGACAUCGCAGCCUAUUAAGGGCAUGGGGACAAUUCAAUGUACACUUGAUAUUAAGUUAUCUUCAGUCCUACAUGUGCCAUCUUUUCCGAUCAAUAUGUUGUCUUUUAGUGCUCUAAUUGACCAGGUAGACUGUAGGAUAACAGUUGACAGAAAAAUGUGCUUGAUUGUGGACGGGCUGACUGGAAGGAGGAUUAGGACUGGAAUAAGGCGUAGGGGGCUGUGGUACAUGGACCGUGAGGGGCUUGGUCAGACGGGCAGCCCAGUAUUUGCGGCAAUUGUGGAAGAAAGAGAGUAUGUGGCGAUGAAACAUCACUGCAGAAUGGGGCAUGUAUCCUUUGAUAAAAUGUUCAAGUUGUUUCCAGAUGUAAUGCAUGGAGUCGAUAAGAACAAGCUGAAAUGUGAUGCAUGUGAGUUUGCAAAACACACGAGGACGUCUUAUGUAAGGGACAUAGAAGUAUAUCUCCAUUCAUGCUUCUUCACUCGGAUGUGUGGACAAGUUCGAUGGUGUCGGUUAGUGGUGCAAAGUAUUUUGUGA